GUGGCAGUUUCUGAUGUUAUCUGUUCCCUAAAUUUGGCUGCCCACUGACGCCCCAAUAACUCUUUUACCGUACACGUGUUGUAAGUCCAGAGUAAUGAUACGCUGCUAUGCUACUCAUGCAAUCAAAAUCAUCAAGCGCUUAUCUACUGAGUAUUGAAUACAAUACACCUUGCAUCCAUAGUAAUAGAGAGCUUUUUUUGUUUUCUGAGAAGAUAAAAGCUGUAUUUGGG
rnacentral:misc_RNA from 1 species